AUAUAAUACGUGGUUCUGGUGUUGUUUUACAAAACUAUUAUACUUUGUUUUGUUGGUGUUAGAUCGUGUAACAGAUACAUAUAACAAAACAAGUUGCCGUCUAAAUAAUUUAUAGAACCCUUCGUGGACAAUAAUGCCGUGCUUUAUGGAAAGAAACAUUGAUUAUAAUUUUCUAGCCAUUGUUUAGUAAAUAGUUUUUUAAUAGCAGAUACUAUGUU
rnacentral:lncRNA from 1 species